CUUCCAAAGUUUGCAAAUUUUGUAUAUACUUUUGUAUUGCAAUUUUCGCAUGUAUACAAAAUUUGUAUACAAAAUUUGCAAACUUUCCUAGGCUAU